rnacentral:sRNA from 1 species
AAUAUCAAAUACAAUUCCAUAAAUCUAUAAAGUUCUUGUUAAUACUAAAACCUUUGAGAGUACUAAUGAAAGAAAAAUCAGAUUAAGCUUUCUAGGCUGCAUUAUGCAUCAAAAAGAAGUUGAAUGUCAAUCAACAACUCAGAGCCCAGUGCAUAUUCAUCAUCUUUUCCUUCUUAGACCCUCAACAAUUAUUCUAGCCAGAUAAAAAAAUUGAAACAGAUACAAAAAAUU